rnacentral:rRNA from 1 species
GACGAACGCUGGCGGCGUGCCUAAUACAUGCAAGUAGAACGCUGAAGAGAGGAGCUUGCUCUUCUUGGAUGAGUUGCGAACGGGUGAGUAACGCGUAGGUAACCUGCCUUGUAGCGGGGGAUAACUAUUGGAAACGAUAGCUAAUACCGCAUAACAAUGGAUGACACAUGUCAUUUAUUUGAAAGGGGCAAUUGCUCCACUACAAGAUGGACCUGCGUUGUAUUAGCUAGUAGGUGAGGUAAUGGCUCACCUAGGCGACGAUACAUAGCCGACCUGAGAGGGUGAUCGGCCACACUGGGACUGAGACACGGCCCAGACUCCUACGGGAGGCAGCAGUAGGGAAUCUUCGGCAAUGGGGGCAACCCUGACCGAGCAACGCCGCGUGAGUGAAGAAGGUUUUCGGAUCGUAAAGCUCUGUUGUAAGUCAAGAACGGGUGUGAGAGUGGAAAGUUCACACUGUGACGGUAGCUUACCAGAAAGGGACGGCUAACUACGUGCCAGCAGCCGCGGUAAUACGUAGGUCCCGAGCGUUGUCCGGAUUUAUUGGGCGUAAAGCGAGCGCAGGCGGUUUGAUAAGUCUGAAGUUAAAGGCUGUGGCUCAACCAUAGUUCGCUUUGGAAACUGUCAAACUUGAGUGCAGAAGGGGAGAGUGGAAUUCCAUGUGUAGCGGUGAAAUGCGUAGAUAUAUGGAGGAACACCGGUGGCGAAAGCGGCUCUCUGGUCUGUAACUGACGCUGAGGCUCGAAAGCGUGGGGAGCGAACAGGAUUAGAUACCCUGGUAGUCCACGCCGUAAACGAUGAGUGCUAGGUGUUGGAUCCUUUCCGGGAUUCAGUGCCGCAGCUAACGCAUUAAGCACUCCGCCUGGGGAGUACGACCGCAAGGUUGAAACUCAAAGGAAUUGACGGGGGCCCGCACAAGCGGUGGAGCAUGUGGUUUAAUUCGAAGCAACGCGAAGAACCUUACCAGGUCUUGACAUCCCGAUGCUAUUCCUAGAGAUAGAAAGUUACUUCGGUACAUCGGUGACAGGUGGUGCAUGGUUGUCGUCAGCUCGUGUCGUGAGAUGUUGGGUUAAGUCCCGCAACGAGCGCAACCCCUAUUGUUAGUUGCCAUCAUUCAGUUGGGCACUCUAGCGAGACUGCCGGUAAUAAACCGGAGGAAGGUGGGGAUGACGUCAAAUCAUCAUGCCCCUUAUGACCUGGGCUACACACGUGCUACAAUGGUUGGUACAACGAGUUGCGAGUCGGUGACGGCGAGCUAAUCUCUUAAAGCCAAUCUCAGUUCGGAUUGUAGGCUGCAACUCGCCUACAUGAAGUCGGAAUCGCUAGUAAUCGCGGAUCAGCACGCCGCGGUGAAUACGUUCCCGGGCCU